AUGCAUGUAUGUAAUUCUUUAUUUAUUUUUAUUUCCAUUUGGUGCAGCAUCGUGCCAGAAGAAACAGACUGCGCGAACGUCUCCGCUAUCUACUAAUUUCUACGAUACACAUCUUUUUCACGCGGAGCACGUCCGUGUAAAACAACCACCGAAGCAGCGAAGGGAGGAGCUUAGAGAUAUUAACAAUGGCGAAGCUUAAAGAGACCGUACGAUGUCAGGUGAACUGACCUCCAUUAUCGUAUCACAUCGUCAUCAUCAUCGUCGUCGUCGUUAAAGCUUGCUAAUGACCAUAGAUUUUCCAGGAGAAUUGCUGGAAACCGUCCGCAUAUCCGAGAAACCGUAAAAAUCACCGGAGACCUGCCGCGAGUAUACCAUUAUUCAUUUAACAACGCUGAUUAUCUUAUCGUUGGGAAAACAUCGAUCGUGAAAAAAGAAAUACAAAAUCGCUUCGGUGGGAAUCCAUCGAAAACAUGUUACGUCGUCGCGUCUAUCGACUAGAUGCAAUGCUGGAGAAUGGACGACACAAAAUGCAACCAUAAAACUGCGAUUGGACAUAGAAUAGCGAUCAAAUCUGUUCUUGGCUAUACGAUUGUGUUGGCUAUCCGUUGUUUAGUACCAAGCUUCUACUGUUUGCGUUAUACCCACACAAAUAGCACUUCCGUUGUACGCUCCACCGCGCAAUCAGGCACACGUAUAAAAAUUGUAUAAAUAUAAAGACAUACAUGUAGAUCGAUUUAAAUUGUCCUUGCUCAGUGCAAUCAUGCUCGUGUGUUAAUGUUUCAUCGCUUUAUUUACGUCACGUGCAAAACGUAGUAUAAAUCGUGUAUCCUGUAUUAUGUAUCGAAACAUAUAGUUUUUUAAAAUAAAAAUUAAAUUCUGCCAUUGUGAGCCGCGAGUCUGAACGUUUGUAUUUUCACAAAUCGCAAUUCUGUCCAAUUUAAGCGACUUCCCGGCAUGUCAAUAGACUCGCUUGCAAUGGAACGCUCGCGUCACAUCGCGCAUUAUUACUUUGAUGUAAAAUUUGUUUACCGCGGGUCGUUAGGAACACGAACCGCUAACUCAACAUGACGCGGCAAAUGGAUUGGGAGAAAAUGCUUUUUACCGAUGAUUGCUCGCCUAUCGCCGAGCUGUAAUCCCCAUUCAUUUACGUAACCGCCUUCUACAUAACACAAUUUCUGUGGGCAGCCCGUGAAUAAUCAAUACUUUGCGGGACUAUCUUUAAUAAAGAAGGAGUUAAAAAUAUAAAUGCUGUAGUAUCAGCUACCGCGCAUCGCUGCAAUCUCGUGACGACGAACAAAAACAAUGUUCGGACUUCGGAUACCUCGAUAAAGUGAUGGAAAUCUGAACCGAUCUGGAUCAGAAUCUGGAAAUCGCUUAAUUAAAUUCGAUCAUUUCCUGAUUAAACGCGAGAUUGCAGGCAUUUUUCGCUCGCUAAAUUAAUGUGAAAAUUAACGAACUUUUCGCUCGUUAAACGUUUUGAGUAAAUAAGCUAUUAUCGAGAUUUCACCAUCCUUAAAAUUCUUGUAAAUCCAAAA